AGUAAAGAAAGGGAUUGUAUAAUGUGGAGUACUUGGUGCUCUCUGCGCUUAGUUGUUUGCUUGCUUGCAGACAUUUCACUGAUGAUGUUCCCUAGUUGGGUAAUGAAACAUCUGCAAGCCAACAACCAAGCACAGAGAGCACCAAGGACUCCACAGUUCAACCCUGAGCGGUGUAUAUUCUAUUCUGUUGGAUUGUAUAACAGUUUCUACCAGGGCAAUCCCAGACACCUCUAUUCAGAAGUAGACUCAUUAAAUUCACUGGUGCUUUCUCCCUGGUAAAAUGGGUAUAGCAACCUUUCCCAGUCAGCACAGAUUUUAGAGUGCAGUCUGUGAUCCAAGGGUUGAACUAGUAGUGACAGGAGCAGAAGAGAAUUAAAAGAAGGUUUAAUUUAGCCAAAGUAUCAGCUGACCCUUCAAGAUAUAAAAUGAGAUCUAAACUCUCUUCCCAAGCCCUGGAAGCAAACACCUGCUCUUUCAUUGUAGGAAUGAGUGAGUAAAGCUGCAAUAGUCAGAGAAAGGUGCUUGGAAAGAAUGAAGGAAUGGACAGACUCUUUCCCGAGGCUUGGUAUGUGGUGCAAACAUGGCCCUGGCUUAGCAUAAUGUUUAGUUCAUAACAGCAUGGGAAGUAAAUGGUGGUUCAGUGCAUUCUGUGAACCCAGUCACAGACCUGCAAACUAUCUAGCCGAAGCUGGGCUAUUUCAAAUAAUUUAUGCAGGACGUUGACGACUCUAAAUCUUUGGUAACCUCAUCAUUUUCCGCACUAUCAUAUUUGGUUAUACUAAUAAUACUCCCAGUAUAAGGUUAACUGAAGAAGUCUCCUGGUUUACUCAAAAGUAAAUCCUAUAUUCAAUAGCACUUCCUCUGCUUUGUAUAAGGGUGUCAUUUAUUUUAUUUAUGGAAAUUCAAGGCUAAGCAUGACUUAAUUUGAGAGGAUUUCAAAGAGAGGAAAACAGCAGCGCUGGCAGAAAUGGGUAGAUGCCACUGGAACAAUCAAUCUUUGGAAAUGAGCCAUGUCUUUAGUGUUCAACCAGUUAAUCAAAUAUCAUGUAUUAUAUGCCCCCUAGAUAUCUGUUAGGUCUCCACUUUUUAAAGUUCCUUUUGUAUUGACUUUCCUCAUGCUUGUUAUUUGUGAAUUAUGAUGUUAUGAAACGGGGAGUCUAUAAAUUUGUGUAAUAAAUAAUACAUAAAUAAACCAGUUGAUUGAUAGGA